rnacentral:rRNA from 1 species
UGCCAGCCGCCGCGGUAAUACGUAGGGGGCAAGCGUUGUCCGGAAUUACUGGGCGUAAAGGGCGUGUAGGCGGUAUUGUAAGUCAGAUGUAAAAGGCUACGGCUUAACCGUAGAUUGUCAUUUGAAACUGCAGUACUUGAGUGCGAGAGAGGGUAGUGGAAUUCCCAGUGUAGCGGUGAAAUGCGUAGAUAUUGGGAAGAACACCAGUAGUGAAGGCGGCUACCUGGCUCGUAACUGACGCUAAUGCGCGAAAGCGUGGGGAGCGAACAGGAUUAGAUA